AACCGCCGUAUACGGAACCGUACGUACGUGGGGUGAGAGGGGCGAAAAGUUAUUUAGCUUUUCCCUCUACUCGAU
rnacentral:misc_RNA from 1 species